rnacentral:rRNA from 1 species
CCAGCCUGCCCAGUGACCUAGUUUAACGGCCGCAGUACCCUAACCGCGCGAAGGUAGCAUAAUCACUUGUUCUUUAAAUGGGGACUUGUAUCAACGGCAUCACGAGGGUUGCACUGUCUCCUUUUUCUAAUCAGUGAAACUAAUCCCCCCGUGAAGAAGCGGGGAUAAACCUAUAAGACGAGAAGACCCCAUGGAGCUUUAAACCUAGCUACACCUCAUGUUUGUUAUAUCCUUCAAUCUACUGAGACCUGUAAACUAGACUUUAGGUUGGGGUGACCGCGGAGUAUAAUAAAGCCUCCACGAUAAACGAGACUACCCUCUUAUCCAAGAAAUACACCUCUAAGAAUUAAUAUUUUAAUAUAAAUGAUCCGAUAAUCGAUCAACGGACCAAGUUACCCUGGGGAUAACAGCGCAAUCCAUUUCUAGAGCUCCUAUCGACAAAUGGGUUUACGACCUCGAUGUUGGAUCAGGAUAUCCCAGUGGUGUAGCAGCUACUAAUGGUUCGUUUGUUCAACGAUUAAAAUCCU